GUAAUUUAAAAUGUGACUAUUCUUGCAGAAAGAGAGCACCUGAACAUGAGACCUGGUAUAAAAGGCCUAAGGUAAUGCCUAAAGCCCAAACAGAGUUAAGCCCUGCUAAUAUAAAGCAGAGUUAGCAGGAGUCAGGUGCUGCCCUGUUACAAAGCAGAUGCCUGCUUGCAGGUUCACUAUACUAUUCUGAUACAUGAACUUGGCAAGAAGAGGGCUGGCUUUGCAAAAAAAUACAAGCACUCCUAGACACUAAGUAUUCACAUAAACACAUCCCAGGUGGUUAGUAUCAGAACACCCCAAUACAAAGUUAUGGUAUAAACACACUCCCCAAAGAGGAUAUAGGGACACACCGCUAAAGGUCAGGAUGACAGACAGAGAUGUUUUGAUCAAACCAACAUAUACAAGGUCAAGGGUGGUAACUAACCACAUCAGAGGGGCCAUACAAAACAUGUUUGUAUCUGUGUAUAAAAGAGGAGUAACAGAGGGGGUGUCUUCAUCUGGCCGAGUGUCUUUGCUUCUGAAACCAGUCUGUGGUUUUCUUGGGCAGUUUAACUGAGGUCUGCUGUAUCAGCUAU